rnacentral:lncRNA from 1 species
GGUCCCUCAGUGUCACCACCGAGGCUCAGAUUAGACAGUGACAAUUACUUUUUCCCUGGCUCUGGCCUCCCCCUCCCCUUCUCUCCCUGAAGGGAACAAGGAGGCAGGCCAGUCUCCUGGGACCUAAGAAUAGAUGCACGAGGAUCAAAGGAGGCAAGCAGCCUGGCCUGAGAGAGCCCCUCUCGGGCCUUCCAUGCUCUUGUUUAAGGCUGAGCAACAGCCCGAGGGACGGGGGCUGAGAGAAUUCGAGCAGAGCUGCCUUGGGAAGGCUCAAGGCUGCCCCAGGAUAGAGCUGUGCCAUCAUCCCCCCCUUAUUGUCAGGAAACACCACAGGCAUUUACUUCCAGGUUCUCAGCCUGGAUCCUGGGAGCCCCAGAGCCAGGAGACAAUCAUAACAAAAGGAAGCGGGUGCUCAGCACCUCUUGCUUUCCAGAGCAGCUCGCAGGAGAGAGACAAAGGCCUUUCCGGAAGGGGAGUCCUCACAGACGGUGAUGGGAAUCCUGUUUCCCUUUGCUCAUUUGUGUCACAUUCUUCCAUUGGGCCGGGCAACUGACAGGUGCCUCCCUCCCCGGGCCCCUUUCUGAGCCCCCCUCCCUGCCAUUUGUCUCUCACGCGCCUAGCCGGCAGACAGACACCACCAUCCGCAGGGGCUGAAUAUGAUUAGCAGAAGCCCUUCCUGACAGCUCCAGAGAGAAUCCCUCAAACGCAUAUUCUGUUGAGUGCAUCUCAUUGCUGCUGACAGCCGCUUUAUCAAUUAAAUUCCACAUUCCCGGUCUUUGGAGACGCCGCGAACCUCCCUACCUAAUAAAUCACAGCCCCCCAGUUAUUGUUACAUGUCCCAUCAGUCUCUAAUAAACUCCCUGCCAACAGGGGCAGGUUAUUUAUUAUGUUGCCUGGACAAGAAUGAAUGGGGCCCCCAUUCUCACAAGGAGAAGAGCAAACGUGACGCCCUCUGCCCUAAAGGCUGAGGCCGUGGUAGUAAAAGGGCCAA